UACGGAGGGGGCUAGCGUUGUUCGGAAUUACUGGGCGUAAAGCGCACGUAGGCGGCUUUGUAAGUUAGAGGUGAAAGCCCAGGGCUUAACCCUGGAAUCGCCUUUAAGACUGCAUCGCUAGAAUCGUGGAGAGGUGAGUGGAAUUCCGAGUGUAGAGGUGAAAUUCGUAGAUAUUCGGAAGAACACCAGUGGCGAAGGCGGCCUUCUGGACAGUGACUGACGCUGAGACGCGAAAGCGUGGGGAGCAAACAGG
rnacentral:rRNA from 1 species